rnacentral:rRNA from 1 species
UACGUAGGGGGCUAGCGUUGUCCGGAAUCAUUGGGCGUAAAGCGCGCGUAGGCGGCCCGGUAAGUCCGUUGUGAAAGUCAAAGGCUCAACCUUUGAAAGCCGAUGGAUACUGCCGGGCUAGAGUCCGGAAGAGGCGAGUGGAAUUCCUGGUGUAGCGGUGGAAUGCGCAGAUAUCAGGAGGAACACCGAUAGCGAAGGCAGCUCGCUGGGACGGUACUGACGCUGAGACGCGAAAGCGUGGGGAGCAAACAGG